ACAUUCUUGUUAUCUGUAGGAGGGGAAAUAAACCUGCUGGUAAAUUGCAUCAGGGCAUCAGUGAGAUAUUAAUGGUCUCUGCUCAUCAGCAUCUCCAGAAGUGGAUUGGGAGAGAGCAGGAAGGGUAGUGGUGCAGGUGCCUGUUUUGGUAACAGCAGGAAUGAGAUCAAAAACCAAACAGGUCUUAUACUGAGAUUGACCUGAACACCUGCAAAUUCAGUGCUGGGAAGAGACUUGGAAUUCUGAUCAGGAUCUUAAUUCAGUCGGUCACCCAUCUCCAUAAUGCAGGAAACCAACCCCAUAGAUCCAACACUGCAAAACUUUGGGGAAGGGAGGUGUAUUUGGGAAUCUGAAUUUUGUAGCUGCUAUUUCUAUAACUGGCUGAACUAAAUCCUCAGAUCCAAUCACCCAUAAAACUGAGGAGAUCUGAAUUUUGCAGCAUGUACCCAUCUCUGGUCUCUCUGAGUGCUAAGGCCAGAUUCUCAAAGGUAUUUAGGCACCUAGCUCCCAUGGAUAUCAAUGGAAGCUAGGCACCUAAAUAGCUCUCAGGAGCUGGGCCUAAGUAAAGUGCAUUGGAACUGAUUUCCCAGUACAGUCUAAGCCUUCCAGGGAGAUUGUAGUUUCAGGAAGUCUGCUGGGACUGGGAAAGGUGUGUCUUGGGUAUUAUAAUUAGUGCUGCUUGGCAAUUUUCAAUCAAAAUGACUUGCUGAUUGAAAAUGCCAUCUCUACUAAACUGGAAAAAAUUUGAUUUUGUUAAAAAUUUUUGAUUUUUCUCUCAUGCAAAUUUAAAUAAAUUAUUUCAUUUCAGGUUGAUUUGACCUGUCUCAAAAUAUUUCAGAUUGUUGAACUGCUCCGAAACUUUUCUAGGGUACUGUCCCCCCUUUGAUAUCCUGGACCCAUUCCCACCUUCCAGCCUUAAAAGAUUAUAAUGGGAGGCAGUAAGAGGGUGAUCCAUUCCAACUGAGGACAGCAGCAAAGGCAAGAGAUCACCAACCAGAGAGAGUCAGGGGUGUCUCCUCUCAGUUCCACUGGCUGCUUCAGCAUGGGUGAAACCAUGCAGCAUAAACUACUCACCUUUCAGUAGGCUUUAAUUUCUCCUCCUGCUUGGCUCCUGUGGGGAGGCAGCUCAGAGAGUUAACUCAACAGAGAUGGACAAAAGAACUGGAAAAGGUAACUUCGGGCAGGCGGUGGACACAGAAGCUCGGAACAUUGUAUCUAUCUAGAAAGAGGACUGGGGACUCAGAAAAGGGAGGGAACAGAGGUGAUGUGGGGGAGAUUCAGGGUCACUUGUCCCCCAGAUUGGCUGCUUGCCUUGUACUAGAUGGUCUAGAUUAGCAGUUCUCAAAUUUUAGCAACCCAAGGACCCCCAUUUUGAUUUAAAUUUUUCCAAUGGACCCUCAAGCCCCUAGCUCAGCCCCAGUAUGCAGGAGUUGCUGGGAGGGAGGGGGAGAAGUUGAAGGAGGGAGAGGGGUCCACACACUCCAGUUUGAGAAAUGCAGGUCUAACUAAUACUUAGUCCUGCUGUGAGUGCAGGGGACUGGACUAGAUGCCUUCUCAAGGUUCCUUCCAGUCCUAUGAUUCUAUUGAGCAUGAUCAGUAACACUGCUGAAGCUGGCUCCCCUCCCAUACUCCCACUCCCACUCCCACUAUCAGCAGGCACAGGUCAUCUUUGCCUGGGAACAUUCUAAAUUCAGAUCCUUCCCUCAGUGACCAAUCAACACAUUCCAUUCUUUCUUUACAAUGAAAAACUAACAGUGGCGAGGGGAUGACACACAUUUUGAGGCCACUCAAUCUUAUAUUUCAAUGGGUGUAUAAACAAGAGCAGACAUCUGACAGGACCAUAAUCCUUUGAUUUACACAGCGAUUACAGCAAUAAUCCAGGUAUAGAGACAAUUUAUAUUAAAAUGUAUCCAUUUCCUCCUAGACAAAUAUUCAGUUAGCCUAUGUACUGUUGCUAUGUCUGUUCUGGCUGUUUAUUUUCAGAGGUCAUCCUCGGCCAUCUCACUGCAGAGUUGGGUUGCCAUGAUAACACGCUACAGCUUUGAAAUGGAUUCUGUAUGUGACUUUUUUUUUUUUUUUUUUUUUU